UACGGAGGGGGCCAGCGUUGUUCGGAAUUAUUGGGCGUAAAGGGCGCGUAGGCGGUCGGGUAAGUCUGAUGUGAAAUCUCCAAGCUUAACUUGGAAAUGGCAUCGGAUACUAUUCGGCUCGAGGAAUGGAGGGGAGACUGGAAUACUUGGUGUAGCAGUGAAAUGCGUAGAUAUCAAGUGGAACACCAGUGGCGAAGGCGGGCUACUGGGCUGAUACUGACGCUGAUGCGCGAAAGCCAGGGGAGCAAACGGG
rnacentral:rRNA from 1 species